AACUGUUGGAAUGGACUUAUGAAGCUAUCUUUUGGAAAUAUGACAAUUGAGCUAAAUAUAUUCAACCUAGAACAAGAAUCCUCCCAGCAUGCUGAUGUAAAUGUAAUUCAAGAGAAAAUUUAUGAACCCAUUGACAUUAGCGAUGAAAAAGUCGAUUUUGAGUCUAGUUUCUGGCCAAUCAAUGAAUCUGAAGAAAUCAAUAAAAUUCUUAUAGAUAAUAAGAAUAGCC
rnacentral:lncRNA from 1 species